GCGCCAGUAGCUCAGCGGAUAGAGCGUUGGCCUCCGGAGCCAAAGGUCGAAGGUUCGAAUCCUUUCUGGCGCG
rnacentral:tRNA from 1 species